GAAAUUAGAAAACAACAACUGCGAUACUUGGAACAUGUAAAGGGUAGCCAUGUGUCAGGUGAGACAAACAGCUCACAGACACUCAAAUACUUGUGAGAGCAUUUGAAAUGAAGGCCUGCAACUGGAUGCUACUAGUUGAACGCCACCAUGCGAAUGCAGUGGAUUCUGUCAGAUUGCGCCGCCUUAGAUCUCAGCAAUUUAUUCCAGUUACAUUAGACUGCAAAAUUUUUUUUGCAAUGCAGGUAGUAUUUGACUUCAAAGUUCACUUAUGUAGCGGCCCAAUGUCAUACAGCAGGUUUCUCAGAUAUGACUCCAGAAAAAAUGCACAGGGGACAGCUGUUUCUGCAGCUCCUAUAUCCAUACAAUUACGAGGUGGCACAUAAUCAAAAGGAUUUUCUCUUGAUUUAGCCUUUCAGAUAGUGAGUGCACAUACUUUACUUGCCACCAAUGAAGGGCACCAAAGCUUUCACAAGGAUCAGGAGGCUUUUUCAGUUUACCUGGCGAUCCCUGAGGAGAGAAACAGCCUGCAGGCACAGUUCUGGAAGAUGGCUUGGUAAACUAAGUCGCUUGAAGUACCAAAUCUGCACAAACCAGAUCAUGAUGUCAAUAAAUAAAUAAAUAAAUAAAUAAAUAAAUAAAUAAAUAAAUAAAUAAAUAAGUAAGUAAAUAAGUAAAUAAAUAAAUAAAUAAAUAAAUAAAUAAAUAAGUAAAUUUCACUUCAUUUCAGGUGUUGCCAGAAGAGACAGGCUAAAGGCUGCAGACACCUGACGGGGCCUCUGGCCUCCUCAAUUUGCAACAAGUGCAAUACAAAAAAUGACAAAAAGAAUAUUCAAAUUGAGUCUCACAUUUUGCAACAUGAGAAGUGAUUUUAACAAUGAUCCUUCACAAGCCUUAAAAGGACGACUCACUUGUUAUUAAAUCUUAAAAGUAAUGCAAUAUCAUUUUUUCACAUGGAAAGAGUAAUGCAAACGAGAAUUUCUAAAUCGACGUGCAACAAACACAACAUAUAACACACUCAAUAUUGCAGAACAACAAAUCAGGAUAGCCUGUUACAAUAACAACCUAUGCAAAAACAAAUUAAAGCAACAAAAGCAAAAUAAAGACAACAUAUUUAUAAUAACAGUAGUAAUUCAUACAAUUUCCUAAAAAAGGCUCGAAAUAAUGCAUGCAUGGCACAGUCCAAUGUCCAUACUAGUUAUCAGGUACAACCUGAACACCUGUGGUGAAAAAAAGAAAAUUGUACCGAAUUUACCAGAAAUUUUUUUUCACUCAGUUUGUAGAGCUUUUAUUUUCUGAAUAAAAUAGUGCUGUUAUUUCAA
rnacentral:lncRNA from 1 species